rnacentral:rRNA from 1 species
GACGAACGCUGGCGGCGUGCUUAACACAUGCAAGUCGAACGAAGAGCGAUGGAAGCUUGCUUCUAGCAAUCUUAGUGGCGCACGGGUGAGUAACGCGUAAUCAACCUGCCCUUCAGAGGGGGACAAGAGUUGGAAACGACUGCUAAUACCGCAUACGACCUAACCUCGGCAUCGAGGAUAGAUGGACGGUGGCCUCUACUUGUAAGCUAGCACUGACGUAGGGGAUUGCGUCGGAUUAGCUAGUUGGAGGGGUAACGGCCCACCAAGGCGAUGAUCAGUAGCCGGUCUGAUAGGAUGAACGGCCACAUUGGGACUGCGACACGGCCCAGACUGCUACGGGAGGCAGCAGUGGGGAAUCUUCCGCAAUGGACGAAAGUCUGACGGAGCAACGCCGCGUGAGUGAUGACGGCCCUCGGGUUGUAAAGCUCUGUUAAUCGGGACGAAAGGCCUUCUUGCGAAUAGUGAGAAGGAUUGACGGUACCGGAAGAGAAAGCCACGGCUAACUACGUG